rnacentral:rRNA from 1 species
GACCUCGGAUCAGGUAGGAAUACCCGCUGAACUUAAGCAUAUCAAUAAGCGGAGGAAAAGAAACCAACAGGGAUUGCCUCAGUAACGGCGAGUGAAGCGGCAAAAGCUCAAAUUUGAAAUCUGACCCUUCGGGUCCGAGUUGUAAUUUGCAGAGGAUGUUUCGGGUAAGAUUUAGGUCUAAGUUCCAUGGAACAGGACGUCAUAGAGGGUGAGAAUCCCGUACGUGACCGUUGAUCGCACCCAUGUGAAACUCCUUCGACGAGUCGAGUUGUUUGGGAAUGCAGCUCAAAAUGGGUGGUAAAUUUCAUCUAAAGCUAAAUAUUGGCCAGAGACCGAUAGCGCACAAGUAGAGUGAUCGAAAGAUGAAAAGCACUUUGAAAAGAGAGUUAAACAGUAUGUGAAAUUGUUGAAAGGGAAGCGC